UACGUAGGGUGCAAGCGUUAAUCGGAAUUACUGGGCGUAAAGCGUGCGCAGGUGGCCGCGCAUGUCGAGUGUGAAAUCCCCGGGCUUAACUUGGGAAUUGCGCUCGAAACUACGUGGCUCGAGUGUGGCAGAGGAAGGUGGAAUUCCACGUGUAGCGGUGAAAUGCGUAGAGAUGUGGAGGAACACCGAUGGCGAAGGCAGCCUUCUGGGCCAACACUGACGCUCAUGCACGAAAGCGUGGGGAGCAAACAGG
rnacentral:rRNA from 1 species